UACGUAGGGUGCGAGCGUUUGUCCGGAAUUAUUGGGCGUAAAGAGCUUGUAGGCGGUUUGUCGCGUCUGCUGUGAAAACCCGGGGCUCAACCCCGGGCCUGCAGUCGAUACGGGCAGACUAGAGUGUGGUAGGGGAGACUGGAAUUCCUGGUGUAGCGGUGAAAUGCGCAGAUAUCAGGAGGAACACCGGUGGCGAAGGCGGGUCUCUGGGCCAUAACUGACGCUGAGGAGCGAAAGCGUGGGGAGCGAACAGG
rnacentral:rRNA from 1 species